UUUAUUCCAUUUCACUUUGUUAUUUUGUUUUGUGCGUUCAGUCAAAUAAAUGAUGAGGAACACUUACCACGCUGCAUAUUGGUCCUAUAUUUCCUACUCCUCCUCAGACCACGAAGAGAUUCGUUACAGAAUCACCCACCAAAAAGGACCAAGCAGCGUGGUAACCUGGAGCAGAGGGUUCUGGACUCCUGGAUUUGGGAGGAGAUUUUGGACGGUAAGGGACCCUGGGCACAGGCUGGGGAAUAUCGCCGCCCCAGGGAAGAACUGGAGGCAGCUAAAGCCGAGCGGCGGCGAUAUGAGAAGUUAGCAUGGCAGCGCAACAGGCACGAGGGGCACACGGGGAGUGUGGCAGAGUCAGAUUGGACACCUGAGCCAACUCCCCGUGCUUACCGUGGCGGGCAUCGUACUGGUCAGGCACCGUGUUAUGCGGUCAAGCGCACAGUGUCUCCAGUGCGCGUUCUUAGCCCGGUGCGCUACAUCCCAGCCCCUCGCAAGUGCCAUGCGAGAGUGGGCAUCCAGCCAGGGAGUAUUGUGCCGGCCCAGCGUGUUUGGUCUCCGGUACGCCGUUUCGGCCCAGGGUAUCCUGUGCCGGCGCUGCGUGCUGUGUCCCCGGGGCGCUGGGAGGGUGCAGUGCGCGCUAUGCCUGACCUCCGCCCGUGCCGGGCGAAUGUGGGCAUUGAGCCUAAGGGAGAGGUGCGAGUGGUAAGCACCAGAUCUCCAGUGCUCACCCACAGCCCGGUUCAACCUGUGCCUGCACUUUGGAGGGUCCGGGCUAAAGUGGUCAUCCAGCCUGGAGGAGUGGUGCCAAGGCUGCGCACCAGAUCUCCAGUGCUCCUCCCCAACCCGGUCCAUCCGGUGCCUCCUCCACGUACCAGGCCUCCUGUAGGUCUCCCCAGCCUGGUGGGUCCUGUGGCAGCCCCACGCACCAGGCUGUCUCUCCGUCUCCUCCCUCCAGGUUCUCCAGUCUGGCAGGAGCUGCCAGAGCCACCCGUCAGUCAGGAGCUGCCAGAGCCGCCCUUCACUCCGGCGUAG
rnacentral:lncRNA from 1 species